CAGCUCCAGGGAUGACUGACUCAAUAAGAAGGGGGUGGCGGUUGAUCAGAUGCCCUACUCCACAAGAAGGCAUAGCUGAGGCCCAAGUUCCACAUACCCUACAUCAUGGAGAUGGAAAAAACAUGGAGGUCAGCUGGCCUUGAGGAGAAAAGUUUCCCAGCAGGGAGACUGUGAGAGGCAUGAGCAGGAGCGUCCCCAUGGGUCUUGUACGAGAGGAGAUGGAUAAGAGGAAUCAGACUCAGCUGGCCUGGAGCUCAGGGCCAGACACGUCACCUCGAGACGCGGCCGGGGCAAAGUUCUGAUGUGUGAAAUCACCCGCAGGCUCGUGCUGGGUGUUCCUUCCAUGUCGUCGGCCUCAAAGUUGGAUUAAAGAGG